UGGGGAAUAUUGCACAAUGGGCGAAAGCCUGAUGCAGCAACGCCGCGUGAGGGAUGACGGCCUUCGGGUUGUAAACCUCUUUUAGUAGGGAAGAAGCGGAAGUGACGGUACCUGCAGAAAAAGCACCGGCUAACUACGUGCCAGCAGCCGCGGUAAUACGUAGGGUGCAAGCGUUGUCCGGAAUUAUUGGGCGUAAAGAGCUCGUAGGCGGUUUGUCGCGUCUGCUGUGAAAUCCCGAGGCUCAACCUCGGGUCUGCAGUGGGUACGGGCAGACUAGAGUGUGGUAGGGGAGAUUGGAAUUCCUGGUGUAGCGGUGGAAUGCGCAGAUAUCAGGAGGAACACCGAUGGCGAAGGCAGAUCUCUGGGCCAUUACUGACGCUGAGGAGCGAAAGCAUGGGGAGCGAACA
rnacentral:rRNA from 1 species